GGAAAGGAGAAGAAGGAGAGGAAAAAAAAGAGAGAAGAAAGGGAAAGGAAGGAGAAAGAAGAAGAAGAGGUGCAGCAGCCUUCUACUGUUGUACGCUACUUCAGCUGCUGCUAUUCAGCCAUGGCUGCUGUAGAUAUGGAUGCAUGCAAGUGCCAUGUGCUAUUCACAACAAGGAGAAGUUGUCUUGGUCUUGAUCCAGCGGAAGACUUGAGUGAAGGACUGCUGAUCAACUGCAUGCAUAUACCAAGAAAAUGUAAUUGAAGGUUUUGAAGUUGAAGCAAAGAAGAUCAAGAGAUUAGGUGCAGAUGAAGUCAUGGACAGAGAGUGAUUAUGAACAAGGACUUUGAUACUUUGUGUUUUAUAUUGUAAAUUUAGUGUAAGUGGUAUUAUGAAUUUUGUUGUAACCUGUGGACAUAAUAAAUGCGUCUAUAAUAUUAUAAAGUUAUCAUUGUAGCUGAUCA